GACGAACGCUGGCGGCGUGUCUAAUACAUGCAAGUUGAGCGAUGAAGAUUGGUGCUUGCACCAAUUUGAAGAGCAGCGAACGGGUGAGUAACGCGUGGGGAAUCUGCCUUUGAGCGGGGGACAACAUUUGGAAACGAAUGCUAAUACCGCAUAACAACUUUAAACAUAAGUUUUAAGUUUGAAAGAUGCAAUUGCAUCACUCAAAGAUGAUCCCGCGUUGUAUUAGCUAGUUGGUGAGGUAAAGGCUCACCAAGGCGAUGAUACAUAGCCGACCUGAGAGGGUGAUCGGCCACAUUGGGACUGAGACACGGCCCAAACUCCUACGGGAGGCAGCAGUAGGGAAUCUUCGGCAAUGGACGAAAGUCUGACCGAGCAACGCCGCGUGAGUGAAGAAGGGUUUCGGAUCGUAAAACUCUGUUGGUAGAGAAGAACGUUGGUGAGAGUGGAAAGCUCAUCAAGUGACGGUAACUACCCAGAAAGGGACGGCUAACUACGUG
rnacentral:rRNA from 1 species